GAGUAAUAUAUCGGAACAUAUCCGGAAGUGGGGGAUAACGUACCGAAAGGUACGCUAAUACCGCAUAUGCCCUGAGGGGGAAAGGAGGGGAUCCGCAAGGACCUUUCGCUUUCGAAGUGGCCGAUAUCGGAUUAGCUAGUUGGUGAGGUAAAGGCUCACCAAGGCGACGAUCCGUAGCUGGUCUGAGAGGACGACCAGCCACACUGGAACUGAGACACGGUCCAGACUCCUACGGGAGGCAGCAGUGGGGAAUUUUGGACAAUGGGGGCAACCCUGAUCCAGCCAUGCCGCGUGAGUGAAAAAGGCCUUCGGGUUGUAAAGCUCUUUCAGCCGGAAAGAAACGGUCACGGCUAAUACCCGUGACUAAUGACGGUACCGGCAGAAGAAGCACCGGCUAACUACGUGCCAGCAGCCGCGGUAAUACGUAGGGUGCGAGCGUUAAUCGGAAUUACUGGGCGUAAAGCGUGCGCAGGCGGUUUUGUAAGACAGACGUGAAAUCCCCGGGCUUAACCUGGGAACUGCGUUUGUGACUGCAAGGCUAGAGUACGGCAGAGGGGGGUAGAAUUCCACGUGUAGCAGUGAAAUGCGUAGAUAUGUGGAGGAAUACCGAUGGCGAAGGCAGCCCCCUGGGUCGAUACUGACGCUCAUGCACGAAAGCGUGGGGAGCAAACAGGAUUAGAUACCCUGGUAGUC
rnacentral:rRNA from 1 species